AGGUAACUUGUUUGUCUAUUAUACCUUGCGUAAUAAUUAUAAAUAUUUGAAUGUUUUAAUUGAUAUAUUUAAAGGAAAAGUAAUCUUUUUUCUCCACAGACUUAUUGCCAGCAUUUUAAUUUAGAGGUGGAUGACAGUGGGAGGAGGAGGGACAUAUACACACAUUUUUUUCUUUCAGGUAAAUAACUUGUUUGACGUUUAUACUUUGUACUUUGUGUAAUUAUAAUUAAUAUUUGUAUAUGUUUUAAUUGAAACAUUUAAUGGAAAAAUAAACAGUGAACUUUUUUGCCCUACAGAUUUAUUGCCAGCAUUUUAAUUCAGAGGUGAAAGUGACAUGCUUGUCAAGUAUGCAGUGCAUACUCAAAAUAAUACCUCUGAAUUUAACCCAUCACAGUGAGUAGUAAACACACACACACAAAACACAGCAGGUCGUGAACACACACACACACACACACCCGGAGCAGUGGGCAGCUACCCCAGCACCCGGGUAGCAAUUAAGCCAAGGUGCCAUGCUGAAGGUCACCAAAACUGCAACCCACCAGCCAUGAGACUCGAACUGGCAACUCUCAGGUUAAAAGCCCGACUCUUACUACUAGGCUACAACUGCCCCAGGUGGAGGGACCUCUCAGACUUAUUGCCAGCAUUUUAAUUUAGAGGUGGAUAACAGUGGGAGGAGGAGGGACAUAUACACACAUUUUUUUCUUUCAGAUUUAUUGCCAGCAUUUUAAUUCAGAGGUGAAUGUGACAUGCUUGUCAAGCAUGCAUUGCAUACUCAAAAUAAGACCCCUGAAUUUAACCCAUCACACAACCUUAUAAGUGGGCAGCUACCCCAGCAACCGGGGAGCAAUUAAGCCAAGGUGCCUUGCUGAUUUUCUUCUUUCAGAUUUAUUGCCAACAUUUUAAUUCAGAGGUGUCUUGCUGAAGGGCACCACAGUCACAACUCAUUGGUUGUGAGACUCAAACUGGCAACUCUCGGGUAAAAAGCCCAAACCUCUCUAACCACUGGGCUACAACUGCCCCAACUGAAGGACAAUGAGAGGUUUAAGAUUUAUUGCCAGCAUUUUAAUUCAGAGGUGGAUACCAGUGGGAGGAGGAGGGCCAUUAUACACAAAAAAGUUUUCUUUCAGAUUUAUUGCCAGCAUUUUAAUUCAGAGGUGCCUUGCUCAACGGCACCACAGUCACAACUCAUUGGCCGUGAGACUCAAACUGGCAACUCAUUGGUAAAAAGCCCAAAACUCUCUAACCACCGGGCUACAACUGCCCCAGCUGAAGGACAAUGAGAGUUUAAGAUUUAUUGCCAGCAUUUUAAUUCAGAGGUGGAUACCAGUGGGAGGAGGAGGGCCAUUAUACACAAAAAAGUGUUCUUUCAGAUUUAUUGCAAACAUUUUAAUUCAAAGGUGAAAGUGACAUGCUUGUCAAGUAUGCAAUGCAUACUCAAAAUAAGACCUCUGAAUUUAACCCAUCACAGUAAGUAGUGAACACACACACACACACACACAGAGCAGGGGGCAGCUACCCCAACACCCAGGGAGCAAUUAAGCCAAAGUGCUUUGCUUAAGAUCACCACAACUCAUUGGCCGAGGAACUGGCAACUCUUGGGUUAAAAACCAGACUCUCAUCACUAGGCUACAACUGCCCCAGGUGGACGACAAUGGGAGGCUUAAGAUUUAUAGCCAGCAUUUUAAUUCAGCGGUGGAUGACAGUGGGAGCAGGAGGGCCAUUAUAUACAAAAAAAGUUUUCUUUCAGAUUUAUUGCCAGCAUUUUAAUUCAGAGGUGCCUUGCUCAACGGCACCACAGUCACAACUCAUUGGCCGUGAGACUCAAACUGGCAACUCAUGGGUAAAAAGCCCAAAACUCUCUAACCAUUGGGCUACAACUGCCCCAGCUGAAGGACAAUGAGAGUUUAAGAUUUAUUGCCAGCAUUUUAAUUCAGAGGUGGAUACCAGUGGGAGGAGGAGGGCCAUUAUACACAAAAAAGUUUUCUUUCAGAUUUAUUGCAAGCAUUUUAAUUCAAAGGUGAAAGUGACAUGCUUGUCAAGUAUGCAAUGCAUACUCAAAAUAAGACCUCUGAAUUUAACCCAUCACAGUAAGUAGUGAACACACACACACACACACACACACACAGAGAGCAGGGGGCAGCUACCCCAACACCCAGGGAGCAAUUAAGCCAAGGUGCCUUGCUUAAGAUCACCACAACUCACCGGCUGAGCAACUGGCAACUCUCGGGUUAAAAGCCCGACUCUCACCACUAGGCUACAACUGCCCCAGGUGGAUGACAAUGGGAGGCUUAAGAUUUAUUGCCAGCAUUUUAAUUAAGAGGUGGAUACCAGUGGGAGGAGGAGGGACAUAUACACAAUUUUUUUUCUUUCAGAUUUAUAGCCAACAUUUUAAUUCAGAGGUGGAUACCAGUGGGAGGAGGAGGGCCAUUAUACACAAAAACAUUUUCUUUCAGAUUUAUUGCCAGCCAGUGGCGGCUGAUCAAUAGGGGGCGCAGAGAGAAAAAGUUGGCCAGAGAGGAGAGCUGGCACAUGUUACCAAAAAGUUAAAUAAAAAGUGCAAAUGAAUACAAAAUAAAAUCUUUUAGUUGUAUUAUUUCACUUCUAGUCAUGUUAUCAUUUAUGAAUUGGGGAGCCUCCCAAACGAGUCUGUAUGUAGGUCAGUGUAUUUGUUAAAAGCAUGGGACUUGAGGCUGAGCUCUAAUUGGCUUGUUUCAGAACCAGCUUGCUGAGCCCCAAUCCCUUCCACUUUUGUUGUUAGCAAAUCAAUAUUGUUUAUGUUUGAAAAUUUUGAAAA